rnacentral:rRNA from 1 species
UGGAGCGUGUGGUUUAAUUCGAUGCAACACGAAGAACCUUACCAAGGCUUGACAUGCUAGUGGUAGGAACCCGAAAGGGGGACGACCAGCCUUCGGGUUGGAGCUAGCACAGGUGCUACAUGGCUGUCGUCAGCUCGUGCCGUGAGGUGUUGGGUUAAGUCCCAUAACGAGCGCAACCCUUGUUCUGUGUUGAUUUCUCACAGGAGACUGCCCAGGAAUUCUGGGAGGAAGGUGAGGAUGACGUCAAGUCAGCAUGGCCUUUAUAUCUUGGGCA